rnacentral:rRNA from 1 species
GGAUGAACGCUAGCGACAGGCUAACACAUGCAAGUCAGGGGUAACAGGGUAGCAAUACCGCUGACGACCGGCGCACGGGUGAGUAACGCGUAUGCAACCUGCCUAUAACUGGGGAAUAGCUCCCUGAAAGGGGGAAUUAACACCGCAUAACACUAUUGAUUCGCAUGGAUUAGUAGUUAAAUGUAGCGAUACAGGUUAUAGAUGGGCAUGCGUGACAUUAGCUAGUUGGUGAGGUAACGGCUCACCAAGGCUACGAUGUCUAGGGGUUCUGAGAGGAAGGUCCCCCCACACUGGUACUGAGACACGGACCAGACUCCUACGGGAGGCAGCAGUGAGGAAUAUUGGUCAAUGGGCGCAAGCCUGAACCAGCCAUGUCGCGUGCAGGAAGAACCUGCCCUAUGGGUUGUAAACUGCUUUUAUAGUAGAAGAAACACAUCUACGUGUAGAUGUCUGCCAGUAUACUAUGAAUAAGCAUCGGCUAACUCCGUGCCAGCCGCGGC